GCUAGCUCUGCGCUCCGGCUAGCCACUCUUUAUAACUUUUUUUCCUUCCCUCCUUCACAGAGUAUACGUUCCACUAUGUCAGUAUGAAAACUUGAGGCUGAAGGUGUUUUUCGGUGCCUCCGAAGUAAAUGAUGUUGCCGUCAACUUGAAAUGACAUGCGCUGACUAAGGAAAGAGGAGCUCUUGGUGUCACUGAUAUCGAAUCCUAAGGAAUGUGUCGAACAGCCCUUCUGUGUUUGUUUCACCCUCAGUGACACCCCACGUCGUCGACUGGAUCUCUCCAACAUCAGUGCGGAGGGUCCUGAUGCUGCUGUCCUUUUGGAAUCUCCAAAACAUGAAGCAAACACAGGUUGGUUUUUUUAUUUAUUUAUUUAUUUUUUUUAAAUGAUACAUUCACUCCAGCAUUCAACAGUGCAACUUAAAAAAAAAAACUGCUAUAAUUAAUGUUAAAGUUGUUGCUCUUUCCUCCCCCUCCCCCAUAUGUUCACAACUGUUCCCAGAUCAGUCUGUGUCUCUUCUUUCACCGUGGGACUCUCCUGCACCCCGGAACAGUCGUAUGAAGAAGUUUAGGUCUUUUCUGCCCCAGCUGCUGUGCAGCAGCCCAAAGUCCCAUUCUGGUAGCCAAGGUCAGCAAGGUCCUCCGAACAGCAACAAGGAGAAUGUGAGUACAGCACAAGGUGGUCUUUUCUGUUUGGUUUGUUAAAAGUAGGAAAAUGCAAC
rnacentral:lncRNA from 1 species